rnacentral:rRNA from 1 species
GACGAACGCUGGCGGCGUGCUUAACACAUGCAAGUCGAACGGAAAGGCCCUGCUUUUGUGGGGUGCUCGAGUGGCGAACGGGUGAGUAACACGUGAGUAACCUGCCCUUGACUUUGGGAUAACUUCAGGAAACUGGGGCUAAUACCGGAUAGGAGCUCCUGCUGCAUGGUGGGGGUUGGAAAGUUUCGGCGGUUGGGGAUGGACUCGCGGCUUAUCAGCUUGUUGGUGGGGUAGUGGCUUACCAAGGCUUUGACGGGUAGCCGGCCUGAGAGGGUGACCGGCACAAUUGGGACUGAGAUACGCCCCAGAGCCCACGGGGGGAGAGAAGGGGGGAAUAUUGCAAAAAGGGGCGGAGCCUGUGUCGGACACCCCCGGGGGGGGAAGAGGGGCUUUGGGGUUGGAACCCUAUUUCGCCUGUAACGAGCGGUGAGGAGGGGAAUUGGGUAAAAAGGCCCGGCAAAAUUGGUG